rnacentral:rRNA from 1 species
UAAUACGUAGGGGGCGAGCGUUGUCCGGAUUUAUUGGGCGUAAAGCGCGCGCAGGCGGUUUGUUAAGUCUGGUGUGAAAGCUCCCGGCUCACCUGGGAGAGGGCACUGGAGACUGGCAGACUGGAGGGCGGCAGAGGCCGGUGGAAUUCCCGGUGUAGUGGUGAAAUGCGUAGAGAUCGGGAGGAACACCAGUGGCGAAGGCGGCCGGCUGGGCCGUGCCUGACGCUGAGGCGCGAAAGCGUGGGGAGCGAACCGGAUUAGAUACCCGGGUAGUCCACGCCGUAAACGAUGACCACUAGAUGUGGGGGGUAUCGACCCCCUCCGCGUCGGAGCUAACGCGAUAAGUGGUCCGCCUGGGGAGUACGGCCGCAAGGCUA